rnacentral:lncRNA from 1 species
CCACUGUAUUAGUAAGCCACUGUAUCUGCCUGUGUGUGACUGUUAUGACUGUUGUCUGCUCUUGUCCACAGAGCUGUGCCUCAUCCGCAACAAUGGGGGCUUUGAAUAGAUAAGUCAAAGGAGGGGUUGGAAGUAGAUGGAUUUAUGGACCUGGGAGGCGACUUUGAUACCAACAGUCCCUAAAUCUGAACAAAGAACUGGAGAAACUGAGUGGUCAUUUCCAGCUCCUGUUAACCCUUCCGGCAGCCAAACGCUCCUCUCUGCUUCAGCUCCUCAAGACAACCAUGGAGGACAGAGAAGCAGUCAGUGUGCUGGAGAGUGUGCUGGAUCAGAUGUGGUGAGGUGA